CACACACUCAUAUAAACACACACGACAGCUUCAUCUGCUCUCCUGUCUGGACUUUUACUAUUGAACCGAUGUCAUCUCAAUAGCCAUGUCUUCAGAGAAGAGAGCAAAGCGGUAAAGAAGAAGAAAACCGAGAAGGACAAAGAAGCGCCAACAGAGAAGAACAUAAAAAAGAAG
rnacentral:lncRNA from 1 species